UACGAAGGAUGCAAACGUUGCUCGGAAUUAUUGGGCGUAAAGCGCACGUAGGCGGCUUUGCAAGUCGGAUGUGAAAUCCCUCGGCUCAACCAAGGAAGUGCAUCCGAAACUGCAGAGCUUGAGUACCAAAGAGGAUCGCGGAAUUCCCGGUGUAGAGGUGAAAUUCGUAGAUAUCGGGAGGAACACCAGUGGCGAAGGCGGCGAUCUGGGUGGAUACUGACGCUGAGGUGCGAAAGCGUGGGGAGCAAACAGG
rnacentral:rRNA from 1 species